CUUGAGCGAGCCGAGCCACAGCGGCCGGUCCUCGUCGCGGCCCUGUCCGUAGGUGGCCAGCAGGGCGCCGGCCUC
rnacentral:antisense_RNA from 1 species